rnacentral:rRNA from 1 species
AUACGGAGGGGGCUAGCGUUGUUCGGAAUUACUGGGCGUAAAGCGCGCGUAGGCGGGCUGGUAAGUUGGGGGUGAAAUCCCAGGGCUCAACCCUGGAACUGCCCUCAAUACUGCCAGUCUUGAGUUCGAGAGAGGUAAGUGGAAUUCCUAGUGUAGAGGUGAAAUUCGUAGAUAUUAGGAAGAACACCAGUGGCGAAGGCGGCUUACUGGCUCGAUACUGACGCUGAGGCGCGAAAGCGUGGGGAGCAAACAGGAUUAGAUACCCCGGUAGUCC